CCCUGUCAUCGCGCUGGCCGCAUACUUGGCGUGUGCCAUGCGCCAUCUGUCUACCGAUCAAUGGACAAGCUGGCGUCGACUGGUACACUAGAAAGAUGGUGAAACCCUUGCUACAAAGAAGUCGAGCAAAGGCCGAGAUGACCCUCGACGAUGGCACUCGAUAGAUGACGCAAAGUGGAGUUGCUCUGAUUGAAGAACGGUUUCUUAUUUCUUUUGAAGGAGACGUAGAAACAUCACCUGUACAGUAAAAAAAGAAUCUGUUUGUUAUGCUUAAACUACGACAGGUGAUCAGCGGAUGAACUAAUUGGAAAUUUGAUCGCUGCCUAGCAAGAAAGAUUGUACCUACUUCGAUAAACAUCUAAUCUGAUGUAAUUAUUUUCCAGCAUUAAUAAAACCAAGCCUAUAAAUGUUUACAAAUCUUUUAAUGUGAUUUAAUAUGUUACAACUGUACUAA